GAUGAACGCUAGCUACAGGCUUAACACAUGCAAGUCGAGGGGCAGCAUGAUUGAAGCUUGCUUCAAUCGAUGGCGACCGGCGCACGGGUGAGUAACACGUAUCCAACCUGCCGAUAACUCGGGGAUAGCCUUUCGAAAGAAAGAUUAAUACCCGAUAGUAUAGUAUUUCCGCAUGGUUUCACUAUUAAAGAACUUCGGUUAUCGAUGGGGAUGCGUUCCAUUAGAUAGUUGGCGGGGUAACGGCCCACCAAGUCAACGAUGGAUAGGGGUUCUGAGAGGAAGGUCCCCCACAUUGGAACUGAGACACGGUCCAAACUCCUACGGGAGGAAGCAGUGAGGAAUAUUGGUCAAUGGACGAGAGUCUGAACCAGCCAAGUAGCGUGAAGGAUGACUGCCCUAUGGGUUGUAAACUUCUUUUAUACGGGAAUAAAGUGGAGUAUGCAUACUCCUUUGUAUGUACCGUAUGAAUAAGGAUCGGCUAACUCCGUG
rnacentral:rRNA from 1 species